UCGAGGAUCUUCGGCAAUGCGCGCAAGCGCGACCGAGCGACGCCGCGUGGGCGAUGAAGGCCUUCGGGUUGUAAAGCCCUGUCGAGGGGGAGAAAAGCUCGAAAGAGUGUGAUCUAUCCCUGGAGGAAGCUCGGGCUAAGUUCGUGCCAGCAGCCGCGGUAAGACGAACCGAGCGAACGUUGUUCGGAAUCACUGGGCUUAAAGGGUGCGUAGGCGGGCUGCCAAGUUUGGGGUGAAAUCCUCCGGCUCAACCGGGGAAGUGCCUUGAAUACUGGCGGUCUGGAGGGAGGUAGGGGCGUGCGGAACUAACGGUGGAGCGGUGAAAUGCGUUGAUAUCGUUAGGAACUCCGGUGGCGAAGGCGGCACGCUAGACCUCUUCUGACGCUGAGGCACGAAAGCCAGGGGAGCGAACGG
rnacentral:rRNA from 1 species